rnacentral:rRNA from 1 species
GAUGAACGCUGGCGGCGUGCCUAAUACAUGCAAGUCGAGCGAACGGACGAGAAGCUUGCUUCUCUGAUGUUAGCGGCGGACGGGUGAGUAACACGUGGAUAACCUACCUAUAAGACUGGGAUAACUUCGGGAAACCGGAGCUAAUACCGGAUAAUAUUUUGAACCGCAUGGUUCAAAAGUGAAAGACGGUCUUGCUGUCACUUAUAGAUGGAUCCGCGCUGCAUUAGCUAGUUGGUAAGGUAACGGCUUACCAAGGCAACGAUGCAUAGCCGACCUGAGAGGGUGGUCGGCCACACUGGAACGGAGACACGGUCCAGACUCCUACGGGAGGCAGCAGUAGGGAAUCUUCCGCAAUGGGCGAAAGCCUGACGGAGCAACGGCGCGUGAGUGAUGAAGGUCUUCGGAUCGUAAAACUCUGUUAUUAGGGAAGAACAUAUGUGUAAGUAACUGUGCACAUCUUGACGGUACCUAAUCAGAAAGCCACGGCUAACUACGUG